UACGGUCAAUAUGGGGGAGGCUUUUACUUCAAAAUUACUUCAGCUUCCAACUUGAAAUCGUAUUCAUAGAUAAUAAAGAUAUGCCAUCCAUACCAUUAUCAGUGUUUUAAGAGGAACGGGCAUAGUUACUCAAAACCAUUAUUCGUUUCAAAAAAAAAGGUGUACACGUUUUACUAGGUAUAUUUUUGAAAAGGAAUACAUGGUACUCUCACCAAACACAUUAUCAAAUAUGUAGGUGUCGAUUCUACAUGGUGUAAAUUAUAAUAUAA